rnacentral:rRNA from 1 species
UUGGUCAAUGGCCGAAAGGCUGAACCAGUAACUUGGAAGAAUGUAACUGUAUUUGUAUAAAUACAAUAGCGAUUAAUUCGCAUAAAAUUCUAAAUAGAUUGUAUAUAAUGACAUAAUCUAUUUAUAAGUCUUGACCAAACUACGUGCCAGCAGUCGCGGUAAUACGUAGAAGGCUAGUGUUAGUUAUCUUUAUUGGGUUUAAAGGGUAUGUAGACGGUAAAUUAAACUUUAAAAAAGUACUUUUUUACUAGAGUUAUAUGUGAGAAGGAAGAAUUCUUGGAGUAGAGAUAGAAUUUGUUGAUACCAAGAGGACUGUCAACGGCGAAGGCGUCCUUCUAUGUAAUAACUGACGUUGAGAGACGAAGGCUUGGGUAGCAAACAGGAUUAGAUACCCUAAUAGUCCAAGCAGACAAUGAUGAAUGUCAUACAUUAGAUAAUUUUAAUGUAUAAACGAAAGUGUAAGCAUUCCACCUCAAGAGUACUAUGGCAACAUAUAAACUGAAAUCAUUAGACCGUUUCUGAAACCAGUAGUGAAGUAU